GAUGGUAUAGUUCAAGUGGUAGAGUGCAUGCUUAGAAUGCACGGGGUCCUGGUUUCAAUCCCCAGUACCUCCU
rnacentral:tRNA from 1 species